rnacentral:rRNA from 1 species
GACGAACCGUGCGAACGUUAUUCGGAAUCACUGGGCUUAAAGCGCGUGUAGGCGGGACGGCACGUCGGUCGCUGAAAUCCCCCGGCUUAACCGGGGAACGGGCGUCGAUACGACCGUCCUGGAGGGGCGUAGGGGGACCUGGAACUUCCGGUGGAGCGGUGAAAUGCGUUGAGAUCGGAAGGAACACCGGUGGCGAAGGCGGUUCUCUGGGCCUUACCUGACGCUGAGGAGCGAAAGCGUGGGGAGCGAACAGG